rnacentral:rRNA from 1 species
UGUGUGUUAGUGGAAGCGUCUGGAAAGGCGCGCGAUACAGGGUGACAGCCCCGUACACAAAAAUGCACAUGCUGUGAGCUCGAUGAGUAGGGCGGGACACGUGGUAUCCUGUCUGAAUAUGGGGGGACCAUCCUCCAAGGCUAAAUACUCCUGACUGACCGAUAGUGAACCAGUACCGUGAGGGAAAGGCGAAAAGAACCCCGGCGAGGGGAGUGAAAAAGAACCUGAAACCGUGUACGUACAAGCAGUGGGAGCACGCUUAGGCGUGUGACUGCGUACCUUUUGUAUAAUGGGUCAGCGACUUAUAUUCUGUAGCAAGGUUAACCGAAUAGGGGAGCCGAAGGGAAACCGAGUCUUAACUGGGCGUUAAGUUGCAGGGUAUAGACCCGAAACCCGGUGAUCUAGCCAUGGGCAGGUUGAAGGUUGGGUAACACUAACUGGAGGACCGAACCGACUAAUGUUGAAAAAUUAGCGGAUGACUUGUGGCUGGGGGUGAAAGGCCAAUCAAACCGGGAGAUAGCUGGUUCUCCCCGAAAGCUAUUUAGGUAGCGCCUCGUGAAUUCAUCUCCGGGGGUAGAGCACUGUUUCGGCAAGGGGGUCAUCCCGACUUACCAACCCGAUGCAAACUGCGAAUACCGGAGAAUGUUAUCACGGGAGACACACGGCGGGUGCUAACGUCCGUCGUGAAGAGGGAAACAACCCAGACCGCCAGCUAAGGUCCCAAAGUCAUGGUUAAGUGGGAAACGAUGUGGGAAGGCCCAGACAGCCAGGAUGUUGGCUUAGAAGCAGCCAUCAUUUAAAGAAAGCGUAAUAGCUCACUGGUCGAGUCGGCCUGCGCGGAAGAUGUAACGGGGCUAAACCAUGCACCGAAGCUGCGGCAGCGACGCUGAUGCGUUGUUGGGUAGGGGAGCGUUCUGUAAGCCUGCGAAGGUGUGCUGUGAGGCAUGCUGGAGGUAUCAGAAGUGCGAAUGCUGACAUAAGUAACGAUAAAGCGGGUGAAAAGCCCGCUCGCCGGAAGACCAAGGGUUCCUGUCCAACGUUAAUCGGGGCAGGGUGAGUCGACCCCUAAGGCGAGGCCGAAAGGCGUAGUCGAUGGGAAACAGGUUAAUAUUCCUGUACUUGGUGUUACUGCGAAGGGGGGACGGAGAAGGCUAUGUUGGCCGGGCGACGGUUGUCCCGGUUUAAGCGUGUAGGCUGGUUUUCCAGGC